ACAACAUUGGAACAGACGAAAGAAGAAGAAACUUGAUUAAAUAUACACUGAUACAACACUUAAAAAAUAAACUGUUCACAGGAAUAAUCAUUCAUCUCUUUCAGUUUGAUUCACUCAAAAGAAAAUUGCAGUUCGCCUUCUUCAGUUUUUCAAGUUAUGCAUUGAUACAACAUCACAUUUUAACUCAGAUUUUAUUCAAAAAACAUACUUUUUUUUGACAAUCCAGUAUUUCUUCCCACAAAUGUGCCAUAAACAGGCCCACCCAUAAAUGUACUUUAAAUAAUAAAUCAAGAAAACACUGUGUGCCAGCAUGAGAACAUGCUUGAUGCAGGAGUUGUGUGUGUGUGUGUGUGUGUGUGUGUGUGUGUGUGUGUAAGUGUGUGCCUGAACAUGCUGUUUCAUGUUUAUG